rnacentral:rRNA from 1 species
AUACGGAGGGUGCAAGCGUUAAUCGGAAUUACUGGGCGUAAAGGGUACGUAGGCGGUUAGAUAAGUUGGAUGUGAAAGCCCUGGGCUCAACCUAGGAACUGCAUUCAAAACUGUCUAACUCGAGUGUAUAAGAGGUUAGCGGAAUUCCAGGUGUAGCAGUGAAAUGCGUAGAUAUCUGGAGGAACAUCAGUGGCGAAGGCGGCUAACUGGUAGAACACUGACGCUGAGGUACGAAAGCGUGGGGAGCGAACGGGAUUAGAUACCCCAGUAGUCC